rnacentral:rRNA from 1 species
UACGGAAGGGGCAAGCGUUGUUCGGAAUCAUUGGGCGUAAAGGGCGCGUAGGUGGUUCUGUAUGUCUACCGUGAAAGCGUACGGCUCAACCGUAUUUUGUCGGUGGAAACUGCAGGACUUGAGGCUGGGAGGGGCUGGUGGAAUUCCCUGUGUAGCGGUGAAAUGCGUAGAGAUCGUAAGGAAGACCAGUGGCGAAGGCGGGUCUCUGGACAGUUCCUGACACUGAGGCACGAAGGCCAGGGGAGCAAACGGG